CGAGAAAUGCUAUAUAAGUAGCCGUAAUUCUAUUGGUUAGCUGGAAUAGAAACAUUGAACAUCGAUGAUUCUCGGUCGUCUCACCAGAAUAAUUUUGUGACGAUUUUGUAGUAAACGGACAGAUUCUGAAAUCAUUGAAGUUGGAAGAAACACGAAUAAACAAGCAUGAGAACAGCAAGCCAAAAAUCUUCUUCAAAAAUAAUGACUGUUGUCCUGGUUUCCUUGAUGACGUUGCUAGGUUACGCAUCAACCUACAGAUUAGUAUCGAAAAGUGGAUCAGGAAUACCGUGUGCAAAAUGUGACACUGAAGCGAUUCACCCAUUUCAAAUGAAAAAACUAGCCCCUAUUUGUGGUGCAUGUGGCGAUGUUUUCGGGCAUGGAUACGAACAUUGUUGUUUGUGCCACGAAUACUUUUUGGAACAGUGUAUGGCCGCAUUUUAGCCCAUUACCCAGGCAACUGUUGAAUGGGAAAAAACGCAUCCAAAUAAAAUAUCUACGUCUAUAAAUUCAGAGUCUAACAUAUCAUUUAAAUGUGUUUUAAACAUUUAUUUGAAACUUCAAAUAGGGCAAAAAUGUUUUGAAAAAAAUAAGUUAAGAGUAAAAGGAAAAAUUCUGAUAAUCUGGAUAAUCAUUGACUUUUUCAUUCCUUCAAAAUACAAAAUAAGUAUAAGCAGAAACAAGUUUGAAUAACAUUGUGUGGUUUAAACCAAUUUCAGCUGUUCACCCUGAUUUUAUAUCAUUUAAAAUAAAUUGACAAUAUUUUAAAAUUGCAAGAGACAGUAAGAACUUACAUUAGUUAAAUAAAUAUUUGAACUUUC